rnacentral:rRNA from 1 species
GAUGAACGCUGGCGGCGUGCUUAACACAUGCAAGUCGAACGAUGAAGCCCAGCUUGCUGGGUGGAUUAGUGGCGAACGGGUGAGUAACACGUGAGUAACCUGCCCUUAACUCUGGGAUAGGCAGGGUAAACAGGCCUUAUUACAGACAGGAGAAUACAUCGGACCGUAGGGUUUUGUAAGGAUUAAGGGGUUUUGGGUGACUUCUCGGCUUAUCCGCUCGUUGUUAGGUAAUUGGUUGUCAAAGGGCUUGCCGGGUAGCCGACCUGAGAGGGUGACCGGCGACACUGGGACUGAGAGACGGCCCAGACUCCAACGGGAGGCAGCAGUGGGGAAUAUUGCGCAAUGGGCGCAAGCCUGAUGCAGCGACGCCGCGUGAGGGAUGACGGCCUUCGAGUGGUAAACCUCUUUCAGUAGGGAAGAAGCGAAAGUGACGGUACCUGCAGAAGAAGCACCGGCUAACUACGUG